UAGGAUUCCGUAGGGAUCCUGUAUACGUUGCCAGGAGUUCGCGAGCCGGUCGAGGUCGUUCACGAGCGACCUGAAUCGAGUCAAACGGAGACCCUCGACUUCAUCGCAUUUCCAAUGGCUCUUUGCUGGACAUUCUCUCAAAAAUACGUUACACGUAGUCAUUGCGUUAGCCUCUUGGGAUGUAUAUACUAUCUCACAAGUCAAAAUGCCAUUAGGCCCGUCGCUUUGUGUGGAGUAACGAUCUUCUGGGUUCUACAGGCCUUUCAUCAAUUCUAUGGACAAAUAACCUGACGUGCUUUUCUUACCAGUGAACCAACUGUCUAAAUCUCCAUACUCGACUUGCACCUGUAGCUACUUCAUUUUCGAAAAAAUCGUUACCUUUCUGAAAGAAUCCACAAUGUCAGCCUUCGCUUUCUCCCCUUUAUCAAUAAAUAUUAUUACAAAGCCCCCCACAAGCACUAAACUACCUUUGCCGUUCAAUACACACUCUCAAAUAAUAUAGUUCUCUAUUCUAUUCUACGAUUAACCUUGGAUUCGAUUCUUGGCGCGGUUGAGUCUACACUGAGAGGACCCUGUCUGGGUCAGAGUGUGGAUGUCAGAGCUUCCUUAUUCAAUCCCAGCCGGCAUCGAUUGUACUAAAUCGUACAAUCGUUGUCAUCCCUUUAUUAACCGUCACUCAGAAGUGACAUUUCGAUUAAAUAAUAAGAUAAUACCUAUUCGCCAAUUCGUCGAUCCAAAGGCAACUGCUCACCAGUUUCUUUCUCUCGUUCACACUAAAAUAUUUCUCAUUGAAGCGCCACGGCAGUUUCCAAUCCAUUCAAACCGGUCUGUGAAGUCGCGAUGAAAAGCACACUGGACGCGAAGGUACACACGUUCAUACGCCACAUGUUUACGUUCUACGAAAUCUGGUAAAAGCUUCAAACAGAUAUCUGUUCUCUUGUAUCAGUUUCUACGUUACUUCAAACGGAACCGAAAACGGGAACCUCGUUCCUUUAUUUUAAUUCUCAUUGCUUAAAAUUCUAUAACGGUCGCUGUUGCUAAUUAUAUUACAUUCAGCAGCGGCCACUAAUUAUUCGUUCCAGGCGCCUCCUAGCGUUUGCUUUUUUAUUGCCUUGACGUCUAUCGAUUUGCCGGCUUCCCGAUUUCUUGUCACUGGUGACCUGUGACGUGAUAAACUAUCACGAACCUGUUUCGACGACAGGUGGAUCUGCCAACAGUCUUCAGUCACGUGAAUCCAUUUUGUUAAAUACAAAAAUUCUCUUUUAUCGACAGACCCUCACACUUGGGAUUAAUUUCGACUCUCACCUUGCUUAGCUGGUAACGUAAACGUAACGUCCGUAGAAAUUACCGAUAGGGAGUAUUAUCAUAGACUCUCAUAUCAGUUCAGGCUUCCGAGAAUCAAUACAAAAGCUGACCAAUAAGUUUAUUUCUUAGGGUAACAAGGUAGAGACAACGAAAGUGCCGCAUAGGAAGUUUCGUAAUGCGUAACACGGUUUAUCUUUUUUUCACUUGAUCCUGGUGUAGGUCAAGGUCGGGAUCAAUGUGAAUCGGGCCCGAAGCUUCUAACGUAGAUGCGCGCGUCGCUUGGAUGAGACUUAAGGAGCAAAGAGGAGACUGAACGGUGGAAGAAAAAAAUAAUGUUGAGCUAGAAGGAGGAACGGCGGUAACGGGUUCUUGCUUGCACUCGACUCAUGCGAAUCCGUGCGAAAGUGAAGGCAACUUCGAAUUCGUUGUGUAACGCGAGACUUACACUCUCUCGUGCGCACUCCUACCCUUAAGCCUGUACUACGUCCCUACGCCGCGGCGUCCUGUAUGUAACGAAGAGGGAAGAAGGGAAGCACGGAACUCGCCACGACGCGACAAGAAAGCCUUUCUAUCGAUCUGCUCCCAUUUUUUUCUUUUGCUCCAAUUUCACUACGGUCUCUUGAACUCGCUCGUAUGCCCAAUUGUGAAAUCCUAAUCUCGCCCAUGCUCGCUGGUCAAAUUAUGCUAAUCAAAUUGGACGUCUCCUUUAGAUCUUUUGCACUCACUCUUUUCUAAGGCUUUUAGUGUUUCGUAUUAUGAUCAUUGUUCGGAUACUCUUUUCUUUUUUAAGGCAUUAACAAUUAUUUCCAACUGCAAACAUAGAACCGAAUGUUUUUGGCACGAUCGUUCUCACUACCCGUGUGCCGUAGUACCUUGUGUAUUCUGCAAUCUGCAUACAUUUCAUAUGUAUCUCUUAGUUAGCACUAUUUCGGUCUGCCACUUUGGUACUCUACUGAGGAUACCAUGUCUUUUAAUUCUGACAUCUAAUAAAACUAGUAUAAUAAAAUGGAAUUUUGACGUUAAUUUGGAUUUAUUUGAAAUCGAAUGAUAAGAAAGGUUAAUAUGGUAAUUCGAUCGGAAUGGAAUUUGAUAAGUUUGGCGAAAAUAUUUAUUUAAUAUUUUUUGGUAGAUUAUUAUUAUGAGUCAGGCAGGUAAUCUAUACGUAUGGAUGUAUAUAUAAAAAUCUCAUUCCUGCCUGUCGGUUCCGAAUAGGCUCAAAAACUACGAAACCCAUUUUCAUGGAAUUUUUACUGUAACGAGGAGUAGAGGAAAAACGUUAGUUAAAUGCUGCGUGAAAGCUACAGCUUUUAAUAUUAAGCUUACAAGAUACUUUUUUUCUAUUGCUAAGCCUUGACAAAUGUUGGUUUUAUUUCGAAUGCAUUUUCGACGCGAGAAUUUUUAUUCUAGUGUAUUGUGAACCGUGGAGUAUGACGUCAUUUUGCACUGUACUUACAAUAUAUCCACGUGGACGCAUGAUAAGACUCACAUAUUUGAGCGUCAAAGUUGACUCGCGCAGUAUCUCAAUAGCGUUCAUUGUGCAAAUUCAACUCGAAACGAGCCAGUAAUUCGUUCGAUCGAUUUUAUGACCUGAAAUCAGAAUCACUACUCGAGUCCAGUAUCUGUAGUCUCAUCGCGUAAAGCUGUUUGGUUAUCGAUCCUGGCAAACAGACGUUCCUUCAUCCUGAAGUUGCCAAUAAGAGAGGAUUCGGCCAAAAGGAAGUGUGUUUUUUUUUUAAAUGGAAAUAUGCCAAGGCUGUCUUAUGGGAUAUCUUCUUGGAUCAAUGGAACAUGUCAUAUGGAUACGUAGAAGAGAAUUCAAUGUCGAAUGAUCAAAUGAUUCUCAUGUAGUGGAUCUUAUAGUGAUCCUCAACACAAAAGGAGACAGACAAUGGCGUCUCGAUUAAUACCAUAUGCGCAUGUAAAUUAAAUGAAUAAAUACUAAAUGUCCCUA